rnacentral:lncRNA from 1 species
GGGCGGAGUCACGGCCCGUUAGACCCGCUGGGAAAGGAGAAACGUGUUAGAGUAUUCUGAGGCUCCUACAUUUUUAGAGCAACUUCGAAGCUAUGCAUUUUACUGAUGGAUCCGAGUGAGGCCCAGCCUUUUAACUCUUACUCGGAUAUUUUGAAAAGAAGAACUCGCAUCAUAUCAGCAAAUGUGACAUUCGUCACGUAGUCACGAUUUAUUUGGAGUAGUCAAGGAAAACUAUAUAGCUUGGAUAUAGCUCAACUUCAAUAAUUACAAAAAACCCAGAGGUUGUCUUGACCACCCAUUAUCACCGUCAUUUUCUCCGACAAAAUAUUCCAGGCUCUGCUGGUUCUGAUCACUGAUUACUGGUGAUUGUUCGUUUUAAGUCCUUGGGGCCUUCUUGCUUCUGUUCAUAAGGUUUCUUUCGCAGGGUGGAGAGGAGCAGUUGGUGGGCAUUAAGUGAGACUGCCAAGUUGCUUCAUUAUGUCUGCGGAUUACCAUAUAUUAUCCCAAAAAGUUAACAACAUUGUUCUUCGUUGUACUGGCAGUUGAUCCCUGACUCUUUCUUACUAGAUCCCAGAAGCACCCACAGUAGUACCAGCAGUGCCUCCUUGGUGAGUUCCCUUUCACUAAGGGGCUCUAACGGAUAAGAUAUUUGGAACCAGAGGUGGUCCCAGGGAACAGCCCCCUCAAUAUUGGAUAUUGAGUGAUCUGGUCAUAUUAUUACCUUGUAACACAAUCUUUCUCAUUAAGGCAAUGGGACAUAAGUCUGUGACACGCUGGGUCUUCAUGCUUAAUCACGUAAGGUGGACUGGGAUGAAGAAUUCCGGAAGUUCACAGGGAACCAAGCGUAGGUAGCACUGUUGCUUCUGAACCAACUGGAGAGCCUAAGACAAUGACAACUGGAGAGCCUAAGACAAUGACAAGACGGGCUCAAGUCCAAACCAGAGCUGCCGGGGUAACUACAAACGCUUCACUAGCUUGUUAGAAUUUCCCACACACAGGGGCUCAAAACACAACAUUGUGGGUUGCAGAAUUGUAACUAAAGUAGCAUUUGUGUGCUCAGACGCCUCAUAUGCAAAGAUGAUUAGUUACAAGAAAGACUUUGCACCUUGGUAUGGAGACCACGUACUAGGACUUAUGGAAAGCUGAGCUCUUGGGACUGCCUAUCUGCCUGUGUCUGAAGAGACUGAUAUGAAGACCCUACAGUAAGCUCAAGGCCCACCCCAGCUGCUUCUCAUUACCUCUAGGACUCUAUCUAGAUGCAGGUUUGGAUUUGUUCUGAGGAACCAGGUACAAAGCCUGGCACAAAAGGAAAUAGCUUAUACUCCAAAGUAAUUGCAAAAUGUUGCUCAAUUUUAGUGACAGAAACUCAAGUAACACUGAUUUAUUAGACUAGAGAAAAUAGAUACAAGGCAGUGAACUAGAUAAAAUGUGCUGAUAUGGAAGGAUCUGGAAGGCAAAAGUUGUCUAUGUUCUUUGCUGAUUGAAGAGAACCAGCUGGAACCUACAUUCAGUCAGUCAGGCUAACUGCCAGAAUCGGGUUAAUGAAGAGGGUAAGAUCCAAAGACUUAGGGAAUUGGAAUGUGGUCUGAGUGUUCAACUCCAAGGGUGUAGCCUUCAAGAGAGUUCAGACACAACUCCCCGUGCUGAGGCACUGAGAAAUGUGUCAAUGAGAGGGUGACAGUGUUCUGUGACGUCUGUCUUCAGUAGGUCGAGUGGUAGUAACCGGUACUGCUACAGAACUGAGCUCCCGAGGUUCAGUGGGAGCUCAGCUUCAGUCUCCCAUAGAGACAAUGGUCGGUAGGCAGUGGUUGGCUAUAAGAAACAAAGUUGCUGCAUUGUUUUGACCACUGGUAGCUGAUAGAUCAAGGUGUCUGGAGGAACUAAAUAGGCCACAGCCUAUUAAAUCAUUAUUUUGUCUUUUAUAGGGACUAGGAAACUGGUUUUAGCACCAAUGUAGAGAAAUAGUCUUAAUUUCCAUAUUUAAGUUGAACAAGAUAGACUCUUAGAUGAGCAAAGGACAGUGUUGUUCAUCUCUGUCAUACACAGUAACAAGAAAUUAAAGAUUUAUAAACUUUGUUUGUGUCUGAUCCUUG